CCAUUUCCAAGCUCCAUUCAUGUGUUAGAAGGUGCACAACGAAGCUUGGUGCUCUCGGAAGUUGAAGGACCUUCUCUAUUCGCUAUUAACCAUCACUUUUCUGCACUCGAACUUCCCUAGCCUUGAGCUAGUGUGGGGAAUGGAUGGGAAACUUAGAGGGCAUAAACCGUUAAAGACGUGAUUGACCGACCUUGACUGUUAGCUAUAUUGAGAAU
rnacentral:lncRNA from 1 species